CCCUUAGAUGUUCUGGGCCGCACGCGUGCUACACUGAGUGGAUCAGCGGGUCAGGUUGCGCGAAAGUGUUUCCUAAUCUUUAAAUCCGCUCGUGAUGGGGAUUGACGGUUGCAAUUUUCCGUCAUGAACGAGGAAUACCUUGUAAGCGCGGGUCAUCAUCCCGCGCUGAAUACGUCCCUGCCUUUUGUACACACCGCCCGUCGCUCCUACCGAUUGAGUGGUCCGGUGAGGCUUUGGGAUCUGAGCGGAAAGAGCGUUUCGCUGUUUCUGCCCGGAAAACUCAGUCGAACCUUAUCAUUUAGAGGAAGGAGAAGUCGUAACA
rnacentral:rRNA from 1 species